rnacentral:rRNA from 1 species
UCCGUAGGUGGCAAGCGUUGUCCGGAUUUAUUGGGUUUAAAGGGUGCGUAGGUGGUCUAUUAAGUCAGUGCUGAAAUAUCCCGGCUUAACCGGGAGGGUGGCAUUGAUACUGAUGGACUUGAGUAAAGUUGAGGUAGGCGGAAUUGACGGUGUAGCGGUGAAAUGCUUAGAUAUCGUCAAGAACACCUAUAGCGAAGGCAGCUUACUAAGCUUUAACUGACGCUGAGGCACGAAAGCGUGGGGAGCAAACAGG